rfam:Bacillus selenatarsenatis SF-1 DNA, contig: BSSF00046.
AUUUACUACUAGGGGUGCCUUAUUACGGGCUGAGAGAAAGACGUUAAGUCUUUUAACCCUUCGGACCUGAUCUGGGUAAUACCAGCGUAGGAAAGUAGUGUGAGAGACGU